UACGGAGGAUGCGAGCGUUAUCCGGAUUUAUUGGGUGUAAAGGGCGUGUAGGCGGGAAAGCAAGUCAGAUGUGAAAACUCAGGGCUCAACCCUGAGCCUGCAUUUGAAACUGUUUUUCUUGAGUGCUGGAGAGGCAAUCGGAAUUCCGUGUGUAGCGGUGAAAUGCGUAGAUAUUAGGAGGAACACCAGUGGCGAAGGCGGCUUACUGGACUGUAACUGACACUGAGGCACGAAAGCGUGGGGAGCAAACAGG
rnacentral:rRNA from 1 species